GACGUAGGGCGCGAGCGUUGUCCGGAUUUAUUGGGCGUAAAGAGCUCGUAGGCGGCUUGUUGCGUCGACUGUGAAAACCCGCGGCUUAACUGCGGGCUUGCAGUUGAUACGGGCAGGCUAGAGUUCGGUAGGGGAGACUGGAAUUCCUGGUGUAGCGGUGAAAUGCGCAGAUAUCAGGAGGAAUACCGAUGGCGAAGGCAGGUCUCUGGGCCAAUACUGACGCUCAUGCACGAAAGCGUGGGGAGCAAACAGG
rnacentral:rRNA from 1 species